AUUGAACGCUGGCGGCAGGCCUAACACAUGCAAGUCGAGCGGAUGACGGGAGCUUGCUCCUUGAUUCAGCGGCGGACGGGUGAGUAAUGCCUAGGAAUCUGCCUGGUAGUGGGGGACAACGUUUCGAAAGGAACGCUAAUACCGCAUACGUCCUACGGGAGAAAGCGGGGGACCUUCGGGCCUUGCGCUAUCAGCUGAGCCUAGGUCGGAUUAGCUAGUUGGUGGGGUAAUGGCUCACCAAGGCGACGAUCCGUAACAGGUCUGAGAGGAUGAUCAGUCACACUGGAACUGAGACACGGUCCAGACUCCUACGGGAGGCAGCAGUGGGGAAUAUUGGACAAUGGGCGAAAGCCUGAUCCAGCCAUGCCGCGUGUGUGAAGAAGGUCUUCGGAUUGUAAAGCACUUUAAGUUGGGAGGAAGGGCAGUAAGCUAAUACCUUGCUGUUUUGACGUUACCGACAGAAUAAGCACCGGCUAACUCUGUGCCAGCCGCCGCAGUAAAAC
rnacentral:rRNA from 1 species